rnacentral:rRNA from 1 species
UACGGGGGGAGCAAGCGUUGUCCGGAUUUACUGGGCGUAAAGGGCGCGUAGGCGGCCAGCACAAGUCAGUUGUGAAAUCUCCGAGCUUAACUCGGAAAGGUCAACUGAUACUGUGCGGCUAGAGUGCGGAAGGGGCAACUGGAAUUCUUGGUGUAGCGGUGAAAUGCGUAGAUAUCAAGAGGAACACCUGCGGCGAAGGCGGGUUGCUGGGCCGACACUGACGCUGAGGCGCGAAAGCCAGGGGAGCGAACGGGA